AGUGAACGCUGGCGGUAGGCCUAACACAUGCAAGUCGAACGGCAGCACAGUAAGAGCUUGCUCCUACGGGUGGCGAGUGGCGGACGGGUGAGGAAUACAUCGGAAUCUACUUUUUCGUGGGGGAUAACGUAGGGAAACUUACGCUAAUACCGCAUACUACCUACGGGUGAAAUCAGGGGAUCUUCGGACCUUGCGCGUUUGAAUGAGCCGAUGUCGGAUUAGCUAGUUGGCGGGGUAACGGCCCACCAAGGCGACGAUGCGUAGCUGGUCUGAGAGGAUGAUCAGCCACACUGGAACUGAGACACGGUCCAGACUCCUACGGGAGGCAGCAGUGGGGAAUAUUGGACAAUGGGCGCAAGCCUGAUCCAGCAAUACCGCGUGGGUGAAGAAGGCCUUCGGGUUGUAAAGCCCUUUUGUUGGGAAAGAAAAGCAGCAGGUUAAUAAGCCGAUGUUCUGACGGUACCCAAAGAAAAAGCACCGGCUAACUUCGUG
rnacentral:rRNA from 1 species